GACGAACGCUGGCGGCGUGCUUAACACAUGCAAGUCGAACGAAGAGCGACGGAAGCUUGCUUCUAUCAAUCUUAGUGGCGAACGGGUGAGUAACGCGUAAUCAACCUGCCCUUCAGAGGGGGACAACAGUUGGAAACGACUGCUAAUACCGCAUACGAUCUAAUCUCGGCAUCGAGGAUAGAUGAAAGGUGGCCUCUACAUGUAAGCUAUCACUGAAGGAGGGGAUUGCGUCUGAUUAGCUAGUUGGAGGGGUAACGGCCCACCAAGGCGAUGAUCAGUAGCCGGUCUGAGAGGAUGAACGGCCACAUUGGGACUAAGACACGGCCCAGACUCCUACGGGAGGCAGCAGUGGGGAAUCUUCCGCAAUGGACGAAAGUCUGACGGAGCAACGCCGCGUGAGUGAUGACGGCCUUCGGGUUGUAAAGCUCUGUUAAUCGGGACGAAAGGCCUUCUUGCGAACAGUUAGAAG
rnacentral:rRNA from 1 species